rnacentral:rRNA from 1 species
UACAGGAGGUCUCAAGCGUUGUUCGGAUUCAUUGGGCGUAAAGGGUGCGUAGGCGGCCAGGUAGGUGGGUUGUGAAAACUGGAGGCUCAACCUUCAGAGGUCGACCCAAACCCCCUGGCUAGAGUCCGGAAGAGGAGAGUGGAAUUCCGUGGUGUAGCGGUGAAAUGCGCAGAUAUCGGGAAGAACACCCGGUGGCGAAGGCGGCUACUCUGGGACGGUACUGACGCUGAGACGCGAAAGCGUGGGGAGCAAACAGG